rnacentral:rRNA from 1 species
AUGGAGAGCCCUGAAGCGGGUAAGAUUCGCUGGCAUGCAUGUCUUCGUCUUAUCCCGUUUCCAGGCACCGGCGAUGUUUUAUUGGCUCCCACAAUGAUAAGCCAUCCAUUGGCAUAUGUCGCACCAACCACCCGACAUUUGGCGCCCACCGGUGGGCCAGGUGCACCGUCGUCCGAAGACCUGCUCUGGACGGGAACCCUCUUCCUUCCCAACAUGUGUAGCCAGCCUGGCUCGCCCGAUGGCGCUUGCACCGACGCGCUGCAAGACGUCGCCGACGCCUGCGCGGCGAGCUGCCUCGCCGAUCUUCUUGGCGAGGCUCGCAUCUCUGAUGAGCCUGCAUCCGACGCGGGCACAGACUGCCCCGAGAGCCACCUCGUCAGCCUCCUCGAUCAACUCCACGUCUCUGGCGAGCUUGCCGCGGACUUGGAGUCGGUUGGCUCCACCGACCCGAUGCUUGUUGACUCCGACACGGCAUCCCUUGACGCCUUUCCCACCAACGUGAUGGUCAUCAACGACCCUCUUCCUCAAGCCGACAGCAGCGGCAGCGCCAUUACCGAGGUACUAGUUAUCAGCCACGAUGCCUCCUCAGGCAGAAACGCCGACGACGCUCUGCAGGUGGCGCUGCACGACUUGUCUGUCCCUGUCCCGGCCGACGCGGACGCCAAGACAUUGGAGGCGCGCCGCCUCGCCCUCAUUGCGAGGGACAGAGGCUCGCCACCAUGA